rnacentral:sRNA from 1 species
AAUUUGCGUUAGGGAUAGCAGCGGAAAACCUUUUUGACUCGCCUUUUGGCGAUGUAAAAAAGUUUGAAGCGAAUAGCCCGACCCGAC